rnacentral:rRNA from 1 species
GAUGAACGCUGGCGGCGUGCCUAAUACAUGCAAGUCGAGCGAACAGACGAGGAGCUUGCUCCUCUGACGUUAGCGGCGGACGGGUGAGUAACACGUGUAUAACCUACCUAUAAGACUGGGAUAACUUCGGGAAACCGGAGCUAAUACCGGAUAAUAUAUUGAACCGCAUGGUGCAAUAGUGAAAGACGGUUUUGCUGUCACUUAUAGAUGGAUCCGCGCCGCAUUAGCUAGUUGUUAAGGUAACGGCUUACCAAGGCAACGAUGCGUAGCCGACCUGAGAGGGUGAUCGGCCACACUGGAACUGAGACACGGUCCAGACUCCUACGGGAGGCAGCAGUAGGGAAUCUUCCGCAAUGGGCGAAAGCCUGACGGAGCAACGCCGCGUGAGUGAUGAAGGUCUUCGGAUCGUAAAACUCUGUUAUUAGGGAAGAACAAAUGUGUAAGUAACUAUGCACGUCUUGACGGUACCUAAUCAGAAAGCCACGGCUAACUACGU